rnacentral:lncRNA from 1 species
CCCCUCCAUCCUUUUUCUGGGUUCAAGUCCCCAUUUGGUGAGAAUCUCACUAACCCCCAUCUCUUCUUCCUCCCACCUUUCCCUCCCCUUUGUUUUCUUAUCCUUUUUCCUUUUUCUUAUUUCUGUCAUUGCUCUUCACCAUGGCUUUAAGGAAGAUAUCAUAUGUUCAAAGCAAAGGUUGUACCAUAUUCUGACUAAAGGGAUAGGAAAGUUGGAGGUCAGGGUCCCAACACACAAAGCCCAAGGCAACUCCCUCACCUUGGUUGAGAGUUGGUUGUGGGGCAACUUCCCUGCCACCUCUUUCAUUGGGGGUUUGGUCUCCCACCCUUAUCAAUAUUCCUUGCGCUGGAAACAUGCCUCACUUGCGCAUUUGUGCUCACAAGGGCCCUUCCAAAGAGCUUUGCUUGGAAUCCAUGCCCUUAUAGGUGACCUUUGGACCCCCAAGAGAUGCAAAAGAAGUCC